rnacentral:piRNA from 1 species
UACCGUGAUUGAUGUGAAAGCCUCCAU